CCUACGGGGGGCAGCAGUGAGGAAUAUUGGUCAAUGGGCGCAAGCCUGAACCAGCCAAGUCGCGUGAGGGAUGACGGUCCUAUGGAUUGUAAACCUCUUUUGUCGGGGAGUAAGGUGCGCCACGUGUGGCGGGAAGGAGAGUACCCGAAGAAAAGGCAUCGCCUAACUCCGUGCAAGCAGCCGCGGUAAUCGGGAGGAUGCGAGCGGUAUCCGGUUUGAUUGGGUUUAAAGGGUGCGUGGGCGGAAGGUUAAGUCAGCGGUCAAAUGUGGGGGCGCAACACCUGCCUGCCGUUGAAACUGGUCUUCUUGAGUGAGCGAGAAGUAUGCGGAAUGCGUGGUGUAGCGGUGAAAUGCAUAGA
rnacentral:rRNA from 1 species